rnacentral:rRNA from 1 species
CACGUAGGGGACGAGCGUUGUCCGGAUUCAUUGGGCGUAAAGCGCGCGUAGGCGGCUCGGAAAGUCGGGCGUGAAAUGCCGGGGCUCAACCCCGGGACUGCGUCCGAUACUGGAAGGCUUGAAUCCGGGAGAGGGAUGUGGAAUUCCAGGUGUAGCGGUGAAAUGCGUAGAUAUCUGGAGGAACACCGGUGGCGAAGGCGACAUCCUGGACCGGUAUUGACGCUGAGGCGCGAAAGCCAGGGGAGCAAACGGG